UUUGGUUCAGGUUAUAUAAGAUAAAUAAGGUUAUAUUUCCUUGGGAAUAUAAGAUUCUCAUGUUUGGUUCAAGUUAUGCAAUUUCCCUAGGGAAUGUAACAUAAGGUUUUUAGCUAUUGCAAGGGAAUGAGAGAUACCCUCCCCUUUCUUAGCCAGAAAGAAGACGCUGCUCUCCAACACCAGUUCAGAGUUGAUGCUGCAGUGGACAUUGUCCGUGUAUAUAGGCGACUUGCAUUGCUGAAGGCUGAAGGCUGAAGGCUGAAGCUGGUCUUCAUGUAUUUGGAUGCUGUUAAUAAUCAUGUUAUAAUAAUGGAAAGAUAAGAUCCCUUGAUAGAAUAUACCUUUCAGAGUAAACAGAAAGCUGGUAGAAUUAAGGUUGGCAGCAUAUUAGCCAAAAGCAGCUGAAACCUUACCUUGUUGCGUUCCAGACAUGUGUGUCAGGUAAAUGAGAGACAAUAAGACAAAAAACCCAGACUCUAUUUGGUAUACUAUGCAUCAGACCAGCUUAUCUGAUGCAU